GAUCCUGGCUCAGGAUGAACGCUGGCGGCGUGCUUAACACAUGCAAGUCGAACGGAGAGCAUAUUUUGAAGUUUUCGGAUGGAAAGAUAUGUUCUUAGUGGCGGACGGGUGAGUAAUGUAUGAGCAACCUGCCUUUAAGAGGGGGACAACAGUUGGAAACGACUGCUAAUACCGCAUAAUACGAAUUUGUCGCAUGACAGAUUUGUCAAAGGNGCAAUCCGCUUAAAGAUGGGCU
rnacentral:rRNA from 1 species